rnacentral:rRNA from 1 species
AUUGAACGCUGGCGGCAUGCCUUACACAUGCAAGUCGAACGCGAAAGAGGGGCAACCCUUGAGUAGAGUGGCGAACGGGUGAGUAACGCAUCGGAACGUAUCCAGUAGUGGGGGAUAACCCAUCGAAAGAUGGGCUAAUACCGCAUACGCCCCGAGGGGGAAAGUGGGGGAUCCGCAAGGACCUCACGUUAUUGGAGCGGCCGAUGUCCGAUUAGCUAGUUGGCGGGGUAAGAGCCCACCAAGGCGACGGUCGGUAGCUGGUCUGAGAGGAUGAUCAGCCACACUGGGACUGAGACACGGCGCAGACUCCUACGGGAGGCAGCAGUGGGGAAUUUUGGACAAUGGGGGCAACCCUGAUCCAGCCAUGCCGCGUGAGUGAAGAAGGCCUUCGGGUUGUAAAGCUCUUUCGGCCGGAACGAAAUCGCAUCUCUUAACACGGGGUGUGGAUGACGGUACCGGAAGAAGAAGCACCGGCUAACUACGUGCCAGCAGCCGCAGUAAUAC